AUAACGGAGAUGGAAGAUCUACUUGCAAGGCUGCUGACACAUGCCUUGAAACGCCUUGUCAGAAUGCUGGGAUAUGCACAAGUAAUGCGACCAACUUCUAUUGUAGAUGUCUGCUCGGAUAUUCUGGUCCUUUGUGUGUAAAAAAAUGUGAGCAACAAAAAAAUGGACAUUCUUCUCAUAGAGGACGUCUCGUCAUCAAUCUCUAAAGAGGAAUAAAGG